AGCGAACGCUGGCGGCAGGCCUAACACAUGCAAGUCGAACGAAGUCUUCGGACUUAGUGGCGGACGGGUGAGUAACACGUGGGAACGUACCUUUGGGUUCGGAACAACUCAGGGAAACUUGAGCUAAUACCGAAUGUGCCUUUAGGGGGAAAGAUUUAUCGCCAUUAGAGCGGCCCGCGUUAGAUUAUCUAGUUGGUGAGGUAAAGGCUCACCAAGGCUACGAUCUAUAGCUGGUCUGAGAGGAUGAUCAGCCACACUGGGACUGAGACACGGCCCAGACUCCUACGGGAGGCAGCAGUGGGGAAUCUUGCGCAAUGGGCGAAAGCCUGACGCAGCCAUGCCGCGUGAAUGAUGAAGGUCUUAGGAUUGUAAAAUUCUUUUAGCAGGGACGAUAAUGACGGUACCUGCAGAAAAAGCCCCGGCUAACUUCGUGCCAGCCGCCGCGGUAAUAC
rnacentral:rRNA from 1 species